rnacentral:rRNA from 1 species
UACACACCGCCCGUCACGUCAUGGGAGUUGUCAAUGCUUGAAGUCCGUGGGCCAACCCUUCGGGGGGCAGCGGCCGAGGGCAGGGCAGCGACUGGGACGAAGUCGUAACAAGGUACCC